rnacentral:rRNA from 1 species
GCUAUGCCCGAUCUCGUCUGAUCUCGGAAGCUAAGCAGGUUUGGGCCUGGUUAGUACUUGGAUGGGAGACCGCCUGGGAAUACCAGGUGCUGUAAGCUUUUGGGUUUUCUUUCCUACUUAUAUAAUGUACUGGCGAUAAGAUUGGCUGAUCUUUAAAUAGCCCUCUCUUUGCAGCAGACUUCGCUUACGGCCAUACCAACCUG